GAUCAUGGCUCAGGAUGAACGCUAGCUACAGGCUUAACACAUGCAAGUCGCGGGGCAGCAUUUUCUUAGCUUGCUAAGGAAGAUGGCGACCGGCGCACGGGUGAGUAACGCGUAUCCAACCUUCCCAUGUCCACGGGAUAGCCCGUCGAAAGGCGGAUUAAUACCGUAUGAGGUCACAUGCGGGCAUCUAAUUGUGACGAAAGGUUUAGCGGACAUGGAUGGGGAUGCGUCCGAUUAGCUAGUUGGCGGGGUAACGGCCCACCAAGGCGACGAUCGGUAGGGGUUCUGAGAGGAAGGUCCCCCACAUUGGAACUGAGACACGGUCCAAACUCCUACGGGAGGCAGCAGUGAGGAAUAUUGGUCAAUGGACGCAAGUCUGAACCAGCCAAGUAGCGUGCAGGAUGACGGCCCUAUGGGUUGUAAACUGCUUUUAUGCGGGGAUAAAGUUAGGGAUGUAUCCCUUUUGCAGGUACCGCAUGAAUAAGGACCGGCUAAUUCCGUG
rnacentral:rRNA from 1 species